AAGGAAACCGAAAGGAAGGAAACUGAAAAGAAGCAAACUGAAAUGCAGCCUCUUAAGGAGACUCAUCAUCCAACAACUCCACAGUCUUCAUGCUGAUUUCAUAGACUUAUCAGCCUCCAGCAGAUGUGAAAACCUCCAGUGUAUGUGAAGAAGCAGAUGAUGAACGAUUCUGAAUCAUUCUGAGUGAAGAGAUCAGUCAAACACUGCUUUUAUUACACAAACAUCUUUAUUAAUUAACUUUUGAUUGGAAACUGUUUCUCUUUUUUACAGGUACAGAAAGCUUUACAAUGAAUAUUGGCAAAGUGUCAUAGAAGCAGCUAUUUAUAUUUUGUAGGAUCUCAAAACUAUAAUCACAUUUUGAUAUUUGUUGAAUUAAAUAUAUUACGUUUGUCUGUCUGUUCCCAAACUUGCCUUAUAAAACCCUUCUGAAACUGACCACUGCACUGUAAUACACUCAGUUUCAGACUGUUACCAUGUGACGUUAGCCUAGUGUGACGUUAGCACAGUGUAUGCUGCCAGGCUAAUGAGCAAAAGACUCAAGCUGGCGGUGAUGAGGGUCUGCUCACAUAGUAAAGUAUUACUGAGUCUAUAGCAGUCGGACAGUUAUUGGUCAUUUUAAACAUCCCAUCCUGGGAUAUUCUCUCCAGGCCCAGGCUGCUGUAUACCUGUGAGUUUAGCCCAUUUUAAACACACACAGGCAAAACAGAGGCACAAGGUCUACAUUUGCUACCAGUCCGUAUAUGCUGAGCCCUUCACUGAUCCGCACGCUCUGUCCUUACU